rnacentral:tRNA from 1 species
GGCCUUAUAGUCAAAAAUGAUAUAAAAUUGCAAAUUUUAAGGGGUAAGUUAAUUACUAAGGCUU